GGGACAGUUAGAGAGGAGACAUUAAAUACCUUCCCUGAAAGUUUGUCCCAGUCUGGCCCCAUCACCGCUAUGUCAGGGCCUGGACAGCCCCAUUCAGGGACCUCUCACUCGUUCUAUUGCCUUCCUGAUUGCCAUGGGAGAUUAGCUGACCUCAGAACCUGAGAGGAGCUAGUAUUACUCACCUUGACCAUGCCCUCUCUGCUCUGCAGGUUUCCAAUCAGAACUGGCGCCAAGCUCCCAUUCCCCAGCAACCACACUUUGGAGGUCAUGGUUCUCUGAAACAUCUGCUUGUGACAAAUAGCUUCUGGAGAGUUGGCUCACAGAGGCAAGAUGAGAGGGUCUGUGUGAUGGAGAGAGGGAGAAAAGGUCAGAGGCACAACAAAGAGAGAGAAAUGCCAGUCCUUCCUCUGCAGGAGCACGUUCGGUAAUCACUCCACACUGGGUGUAUAUUUUCACCUGAAAGCUCUAUCAAGUGGGCCAACAGAUAUGAGGAUGUGUGCGGAGAGGGGUGGAGUGGAGGAAGAAGAAGUGGGGAGGCCACCAUAACAAAACAAUGUUGAAUCUGCCAUUGUCGAAAAGACACCUCAUGAAUGUUUCAUCCUUUUGUCUGGAAGUGGGCAGGAGUGAUGUCUAGGGGAGGCCACUGUGUCCCUGAGACCUGAGCUACUGUACUCGGUGACAACCUGGAGAGGACAGCUCCACUUAUCCAGGCCACAGGUUCGAAGCGACAGGCCAUGCACACUUUCAUGCAUAAAUGUCUGCUUCAUGCAUUUAAUGGAUGUGGUCCCUGAUGGAUUUUUUCUCCUGAUGCAUUAUCAAUGAGACCCGUUCUCUGCAUCACAGCCCCAGCGCAGACAGAAAGGGCUCUAUCAUCUAUUUCCCUCUUCAGUGCUUCUCUCAACUAAGAACCAAUGGAAAUUUAAAGAGACACCUCAAGGUGAAGCAAUGCAUCAUUGAAGUGGUUUUGGGUCCUGUAUGUUUAGCAAGCUGGAAGGUGCAAAUACUAGUUAGAAACAAUAACUGCUGCUUAUCAUCAUGUGCAUAAUGUAUACCACCAAGUACAAC
rnacentral:lncRNA from 15 species